GCAACCCCUUCUUUGGCUGGCUAGGGUUUCACGAGCCUCGGGAAAGAAGAUGCAGCUAAAAUUAACCGCUAUCAAGCUGUCAGCCCUGGAAAUAAACCUGCCUCCCAUUGGCUGCCGGUGACGUCACUGCUGGGUUAAUAAUAGCCGCCGAGUGCCUAACGAACCACCUGUGCAUGGGGCACAGCCAGGCCAUCACCCCGGGGCCACCGUCGCAGGCAGGUGGAGGCUGGCAGCCCAGAGGCAGACAGGGGCUUGGAGGCAGGGUGGGGAGCAAGGCCAAGGCCGCUCUCUGGCCCCCAGUGUCACAGGAUGACCUCAGCCCUGGCCUGGCCCCAGAGCAGGUUGGUUCACUGCUGGGCCCUGUGGACUUGUUCUCAUGCUUUGUCAGUGUCGAUGUCGAAAGCCCAAAGUGUUUCCCAAGUCCUGCUACCUUGGUAAGACUCAACCCUCAAUCUCAGUCUCCCCUGCAGAUCUCUGUGGGGCUUGGUCUGAACUUUCGUUAGGUGAGUGUGGAGUAGGCAUUAUUGUACAUUGUAGUCCUUUCUCCUCAAAAAAAAAAAAAAAAAGUAAGGUCUCUCCACUCUAGCCAGGUCCAAAUGCCAAAUGCCAAUGCCGCCCAAGUCUCUCCACUCUGGCCAGGUCCAAAUGCCAAAUGCCAAAAUACUGCCCGACACAGCUUGUCCUCUACUAUCUUUGUUCUGCUCUAACCUGGGUGGAUACAACCUCAGGUAAUCCCUGGUGAGUCGCAGCCUUGAGUACUUUCCUCCGAGAAACACUACGGUUUGUGUCCAGCCCAUAGAACACAGAAAGGUGAUAAGUCACUCUGUGAUUGGCUGCAUCAUUCCAGGCUCUGUCCUGGGGGACGGAGCAGCAAGACACCCCUGCUGUCUGUGAAGAUAUGGCUGUUGGAAGGCAUGGGAGGGGCCUCGUAUCAGGGAACCAGUGAGUGGCCCCAGGCUGCCAGCCAACAAGAAAGCAGGGACCUCAGUCCUACAGCCACAAGGAACUGAAUUCUGCCAACAACCACGUGGCCUUCAAAGAGGACCUCAAGCUUCAGAAAGAAAUACCAACACCUUGGUGGCACUCUUGAAACCCCGAGCCACCCAGCGGAAUUGUGUGUGGGCUCCUGACCCCCCAAAACUGAGAAUAAAUGCAUGUUUUUUAAAGCUACUAAAUCGGUGUUGAUUGGUUAUGCAGUGACGGAUAACAG
rnacentral:lncRNA from 1 species